rnacentral:rRNA from 1 species
UACGUAGGGUGCAAGCGUUUAAUCGGAAUUACUGGGCGUAAAGCGUGCGCAGGCGGUUAUGUAAGACAGAUGUGAAAUCCCCGGGCUCAACCUGGGAACUGCAUCUGUGACUGCAUAGCUAGAGUACGGUAGAGGGGGAUGGAAUUCCGCGUGUAGCAGUGAAAUGCGUAGAUAUGCGGAGGAACACCGAUGGCGAAGGCAAUCCCCUGGACCUGUACUGACGCUCAUGCACGAAAGCGUGGGGAGCAAACAGG